rnacentral:rRNA from 1 species
UACGGAGGGAGCUAGCGUUGUUCGGAAUUACUGGGCGUAAAGCGCACGUAGGCGGCUUUUUAAGUCAGGGGUGAAAUCCCGGGGCUCAACCCCGGAACUGCCUUUGAAACUGGAGAGCUAGAAUCUUGGAGAGGCGAGUGGAAUUCCGGAGUGUAGAGGUGAAAUUCGUAGAUAUUCGGAAGAACACCAGUGGCGAAGGCGACUCGCUGGACAAGUAUUGACGCUGAGGUGCGAAAAGCGUGGGGAGCAAACA